CACGCUCGGCACAGCUCUUCUGAGAAAGGCCGGGAGCCUGCAGGAGUUCAGAGGCUAAACAGAAACUAGCCCUCUCAAAAGACUCUGCUGCUGAUAUCAACCAACCACCUUAUGCUGCCCCUCCCUUUUGCAGUUUUGGUGCAACAACAGACCAGCAUUUCUUCCUGAUGAGAGACAAUUGACCAUGGAGUGGUUCUGGCCAGUCUAUGGAGAAUGUGCAGCAAAGGUUUUCCUGUCAUCUGCUUCAUCUUUUGAUGUCAGAGGGCCUAAAACUCCACCCUGGGAUUAUGCUAACACUGCCAUUUUUUGUACACAGGACCCAUGAAGAGGCAUGAAGCUCAAUUGCACAUGUGCAUGUUUUUCCUUUUGUAAAUAUUAAUGACUCCUCCUAUAAUCUGUUGAAUAUGUACACUUAACCACUCAACUUACCAUACGUUUCUGUUCCCUUUUCCCCUCCCUUGAAGUAUCUGUUUUUGGCUUCUGACCAGAGACUACACUUCCCAGCCUCUGGGAAUGGCCACCCUGCAGGCUGAAACUCUUCAUGAGAAAUAAAGCUCUUCUUUCUAAAUUUAUGA
rnacentral:lncRNA from 1 species